AUACGGAGGGGGCUAGCGUUGUUCGGAAUUAUUGGGCGUAAAGGGCGCGUAGGCGGCCUGGUAAGUCAGUUGUGAAAGCCCUCGGCUCAACCGAGGAAUUGCGACUGAUACUGCCGGGCUUGAGUCCCGGAGAGGAUAGCGGAAUUCCCAGUGUAGCGGUGAAAUGCGUAGAUAUUGGGAGGAACAUCGGUGGCGAAGGCGGCUAUCUGGACGGGUACUGACGCUGAGGCGCGAAAGCUAGGGGAGCAAACAGGAUUAGAUACCCCGGUAGUCC
rnacentral:rRNA from 1 species